rnacentral:rRNA from 1 species
CCCUUAGAUGUUCUGGGCCGCACACGCGCUACACUGAAGGAGGCAGCGUGUACUCCUGGAUCGAAAGAUUUGGGUAACCCGCGAAUCUCCUUCGUGCUAGGGAUUGAGGUUUGCAAUUAUCCUUCAUGAACGAGGAAUUCCCAGUAAGUGCAAGUCAUAAGCUUGCGCUGACUACGUCCCUGCCCUUUGUACACACCGCCCGUCGCUACUACCGAUUGAAUGAUUUAGUGAGGACUUCGGACUGGGACCGAUGCGGCUUUCGGGCUGCGUCGGUAUUCUGGAAAGAUGUCCAAACUGUAUCACUUAGAGGAAGUAAAAGUCGUAACA